rnacentral:rRNA from 1 species
GACGAACGCUGGCGGCGUGCUUAACACAUGCAAGUCGAACGGAAAGGCCCUGCUUUUGUGGGGUGCUCGAGUGGCGAACGGGUGAGUAACACGUGAGUAACCUGCCCUUGACUUUGGGAUAACUUCAGGAAACUGGGGCUAAUACCGGAUAGGAGCUCCUGCUGCAUGGUGGGGGUUGGAAAGUUUCGGCGGUUGGGGAUGGACUCGCGGCUUAUCAGCUUGUUGGUGGGGUAGUGGCUUACCAAGGCUUUGACGGGUAGCCGGCCUGAGAGGGUGACCGGCAACAUUGGGACUGAGAUACGGCCCAGACUCCUACGGGAGGCAGCAGUGGGGAAUAUUGCACAAUGGGCGGAAGCCUGAUGCAGCAACGCCGCGUGCGGGAUGACGGCCUUCGGGUUGUAAACCGCUUUCGCCUGUGACGAAGCGUGAGUGACGGUAGUGGGUAAAGAAGCACCGGCUAACUACGUG